UGACACCUUCCAUAAUGUAUGGCAAAUGUUCCACAAGUCAUGUUGCCAAGCUGUUUUAUACACCAUAUAUGGUGCAUAAAACAGCUUGGCAACAUUUUUUCAAAAUGGCCGACCGACAGAGAGAGAGAGUGCUGAGAAUGUCCACAGCAGCUGGCAAAACCUCCAGGAUGCAUGGUACCGUUGAAAAGGUUAUAUUAAAAGGAACAUUUUAAGCUUUAAUGCAUGUUUCUGGAACCCUGCUAGCAGGAACUGAAGCUGGAGAAAUGUUUAAUUGUCCCCCUGUACGACCAGGAGCCUGUGGCAAAUGUUCCACAAGUCAUGUUGCCAAGCUGUUUUAUACACCAUAUAUGGUGCAUAAAACAGCUUGGCAACAUUUUUUCAAAAUGGCCGACUGACAGAGAGAGUGUUGAGAAUGUCCACAGCAGCUGGCACCCAGGUACCCAGGUUUCAUGCACAGGGCCCUGGGUAAACUUGGGCCACUUGCCUGCCCAAUUUCACCAAAAUCACAACUGGUGGUCCCCACGCAAGGGGUGGUCCGGCCAAGUGUACCCAGGUUUCAGGCACUGGGCCCUGGGUAAACUUGGGCCACUUGCCUGACACCUUCCAUAAUGUAUGGCAAAUGUUCCACAAGUCAUGUUGCCAAGCUGUUUUAUGCACCAUAUAUGGUGUAUAAAACAGCUUGGCAACAUUUUUUCAAAAUGGCCGACCGACAGAGAGAGAGAGUGCUGAGAAUGUCCACAGCAGCUGGCAAAACCUCCAGGAUGCAUGGUACCGUUGAAAAGGUUAUAUUAAAAGGAACAUUUUAAGCUUUAAUGCAUGUUUCUGGAACCCUGCUAGCAGGAACUGAAGCUGGAGAAAUGUUUAAUUGUCCCCCUGUACGACCAGGAGCCUGUGGCAAAUGUUCCACAAGUCAUGUUGCCAAGCUGUUUUAUGCACCAUAUAUGGUGCAUAAAACAGCUUGGCAACAUUUUUUCAAAAUGGCCGACCGACAGAGAGAGUGUUGAGAAUGUCCACAGCAGCUGGCACCCAGGUACCCAGGUUUCAUGCACAGGGCCCUGGGUAAACUUGGGCCACUUGCCUGCCCAAUUUCACCAAAAUCACAACUGGUGGUCCCCACGCAAGGGGUGGUCCGGCCAAGUGUACCCAGGUUUCAGGCACUGGGCCCUGGGUAAACUUGGGCCACUUGCCUGACACCUUCCAUAAUGUAUGGCAAAUGUUCCACAAGUCAUGUUGCCAAGCUGUUUUAUACACCAUAUAUGGUGCAUAAAACAGCUUGGCAACAUUUUUUCAAAAUGGCCGACCGACAGAGAGAGAGAGUGCUGAGAAUGUCCACAGCAGCUGGCAAAACCUCCAGGAUGCAUGGUACCGUUGAA